rnacentral:tRNA from 1 species
GCCCUAAUAGCUUAAUUAGCAAAGUUUCCGACUUAUAAGCGAGAAGAUAUAGGUGCAAAUCCUAUUUAGGGCA